UACGGAGGGUGCAAGCGUUGUUCGGAUUUACGUGGCGUAAAGGCGCGCGCAGGUGGGUGAACAAGUCGGAAGUGAAAGUCUUGAGGCUCAACCUCGAGGCUGCUCCCGAAACUGUUCGCCUAGGGACUGGUAGAGGCUGGUAGAAUUCCGGUGUAGCGGUGGAAUGCGUAGAGAUCGGGAAAGAAUACCUGUGGCGAAGGCGGCCAGCUGGGCCAGAUC
rnacentral:rRNA from 1 species